GAUGAACGCUGGCGGCGUGCCUAAUACAUGCAAGUCGAGCGAACGGACGAGAAGCUUGCUUCUCUGAUGUUAGCGGCGGACGGGUGAGUAACACGUGGAUAACCUACCUAUAAGACUGGGAUAACUUCGGGAAACCGGAGCUAAUACCGGAUAAUAUUUUGAACCGCAUGGUUCAAAAGUGAAAGACGGUCUUGCUGUCACUUAUAGAUGGAUCCGCGCUGCAUUAGCUAGUUGGUAAGGUAACGGCUUACCGAGGCAACGAUGCAUAGCCGACCUGAGAGGGUGAUCGGCCACACUGGAACUGAGACACGGUCCAGACUCCUACGGGAGGCAGCAGUAGGGAAUCUUCCGCAAUGGCGAAAGCCUGACGGAGCAACGCCGCGUGAGUGAUGAAGGUCUUCGGAUCGUAAAACUCUGUUAUUAGGGAAGAACAUAUGUGUAAGUAACUGUGCACAUCUUGACGGUACCUAAUCAGAAAGCCACGGCUAACUACGUG
rnacentral:rRNA from 1 species